GAUUUCCAGAAUUAAGAAUCUCAAUUCAAAUGAACAAAAGAACAUUUUCUAUGAUCGCUAUUAUUGAGUCGGUUUACAGAUGUCAUAAAAAAGAAGUAUGUUCCACAGACUAAAUACUGGAUAGGUGUUAUUGUUUCUUUAUAAUUAACUGAAGCAAAGUGAUUCAAUGCCAAAUUGAUUCUCAGUGUCAUCUAGGUACCCCGUAUGACUAGUCGGACCAUACCUAUUCAUGUAUGAAGAAAUACCUUCACUGACACCUUCCUACUAAGUUGUACGGUUAUCUUCAGAAUCGAGUGCAGAGUUAAUUACAUGAGGUAGAUUUUUAAACUAUUACCUCUGAAGUAGUUGGAAGUAACUGGGAUAAAACACAGUCAAGAUGGAUGGAUAGAUAGAUAGAUAGAUAGGUCCUUUAUAGGUGCUUUCCCAAAGGAAAUUAUGGUGUCACACUACAACAUGGUGAGAGGAGAUCCAGCCCUAACACCGCCCUCUGCCCAAAACAGAACUAUACUCGAAAUUCAUUAUGCUAUCACGUGAUACCCUUUUGUGGCAAUCGAAUGUUUUAUACAUUUGAUGAUGAAGUUUUAUUUAUUCACCGAACCGUUGAUUCCAAACUGCAGUUCAUUUAUAUUGGAGUAUGUCUGCGGAAAUUACAGUUCGACACAUAGUUCUUCUGCGCACAAUUUGGCAAGUAGUCGCUGCUGUAACUUCAGGCAACGUGGAUCAAUUCCCGAAGGAUCUGCACAUCUUCCGAGCUUCCCCUAUACCCUUGAAAAUAGUUCCCGUUGAAGGAACCUCGUUGCGUUCUCAGAGACUAGAAUGCAAAACGUCUGCGUUUUAUCCGGAAAAAAUUGAAAUCUCCUGGCGAAGAAAUAAUGAGGAAAUACUGAACGGAAUAGAAAUUGUGAAAAACAGGAGUGAGGAAGGGUUGUAUGAAGCUUCCAGUUUUUUGGAAGAAACCAAACCUGCUGUUUACACCUGCUUGGUAUCACAUGCCACGCUCACGGUACCGGCGGCGCUCAGCUACAUCAGCAAAAAAGAUGCAGAUAAAAUCCUGAUUAUCGGAUGUGCUGUGGGUGGAUUGGUAAUUUUAGUCCUGACAGUAAUUUUGGUGACUCAGAAGAACAAAUCGACAUGACCACAAGACAUGAAAUUAACAAGUUGGUUUAGGCCACUAUGCAUCUUCCCAGUUCCAGCAACGUAUCAGCAUUUAUCGAGAAAGACGAACGACAGCAGAUUUUAAAUAAGGCGAGAAGCUGAUAAUCGAAGCAAUCUUCCGUAACGUGAACUAUGAACAAACACAGGCCCAAUAAAUUGCUAGCUUCAUUUAAAUGUAGUUGUGGUUAAUAAGGAUAAUGGAGGAUUUUGAAGUGUCUCUUAAGCCUUCCUUGAGCUGAUUCUUGGGCGGAAAUGCCCGCCGGCAAAUGAGUAAUCACCAUUCAGUGCUGAAAAUGUGGAGAAAAAUGCCAGUUGGAACGGAGAAAAGCAAAGCUUUGUUUUUGUCCCUUUACAUUGUUUUAAAGGUGAAUGGUAUCGCUGGCAGCAUGUUUGUCAAAAAAUAUCGGCGUUUUCCUGUCAAACUUAUUUCUUAAUGGUGACAACAAAAUGGCAACUUAUUCAAAUUUUGAGACAAUCUAAAUGUGAUACUUGCACUGUCCUUGAAUAAUCGACAUAUGCUGUAAUGCAGCAGGAAAUUUCAAGUUGCAUCCCUGGCCCAUUAUUGCAAAUGAAUUCUUCAGGUUUGCUUAAUCACGUGUUCCACCCUAGAUGGAAGGCCGGUUGUUCAAAUUCAUAAUCGUUAAAAAAGAAAUGGCCUUUAGGUACCAGCUCAUCAACGAGCAACGCAUUAGGAAAUUGUGUUUCUCCGGUAAAGUCUGCUCUACAUCUAAGUGAACGGCUGUCAGCAGAGAAUGUGAAUUUCCAUCCAUACAUACAUCAUAAUCGCGUGUCAUCUUUACUAACUAUCACUGAGGUAUCUAAAAAAGUAGCCACGGAAUAUAUUUUUGUAUGUUCGAGAUCUUUUGCUGUUGUAGACCAUCCACAUCAACGUGUUGUACGUUCAGAGAUGCUCUUCUGUACACCACUAUUGUAAUAUGUGGUUUCUGUCGACCUCCUGUCAGCUUGAAUCAAUCUAGCCACUUUCCACUGAACUCUUUCAAUAACAACACGUUUUCACCCACAAGACAGCCGUUCACUGGUUGUUGUUUUACACACCACUCUCUUUAAGUAUGAGAGACUGUUGUGUGUGACGAUCCCAGGAGAACAGCAGUUUUUGAGAUAUCCAAAUAAUCCGGUCUGGCAUCAACAAUCAUUCCACGGUCAAAAUUAUUUAUUCCCCAUUCUGGUGUUUGGUCUGAACAACAACUGAACUUCUUGACCAUAUCUGUACCUUUUUAUGCAUCACUUUGCGCCAUAUGAUCGGCUGAUUGGAUAUUUGCAUUAAUGAUCAGGUGUAAAGGUGUACUUAA